rnacentral:misc_RNA from 1 species
UCCCUGCGCUAUCUGCGCUUGGCUGGGCUUUCUCUAACUAUGUAAGUCCGACGUCUUAGACCGCUCGCCCAUCGUCUCUCCAGGAGCUUCCCUGCGCUAUCUGCGCUUGGCUGGGCUAUCUCUAACUAUGUAAGUCCGACGUCUUAGACCGCUCGCCCAUCGUCUCUCCAGGAGCUUCCGGGGAUUCUCUCUGUGAGUUCUGUGGGGAAGAUGUCUUAAACGACUGUGGUUAUAACAUUUUCUAAAAUGAAUCCUACCAAAACAGAUAACAUCACUUUGGUGCAUUUAAAGGCUUACAAUCCAAUAAGAAUGUAAGACUAAAAAUUAUUAUUAGUGCAAAAUACCGAGCGAGGAGAUAGGGAACGCGAGUUGAGGAGUUCGAACACUCCUUUGAUUAAAUAAUCUGGUGUGCGUGCGUCCGUGGGGGGGAGGAGGAGGAGAGGAGAUAGAGUCAAUUGUGUGUCUAGGCACAGUCGAAGAGACACAGUUGACACUUUGACAGCGAUAACAAGUAUCACAAUUGUGAGUGGAAGAGAUUACAAGAUUGUGACUGACCUUCAUACAGAUAAUAUAGAGGCUUUGUGUUUUGCUUAGCUUUAUUAGUAGUACGGAUAUUUCUAAGUUUCAGUGUGAAAAAUACUUUUUAUGAAAAUAUAACGUAUAUAAUAUAAUAUUUUAGUUUUAUUUUUGACGAGAGAGUUCACAAUAAAUAUUGAAUUAAAGGAAGUUACACGGAGAUGGAUAGUGUUGAAUAUCGAUAGUGUGAAAUCUGUGGCGGUGAAAUGGGCAUGGUGAUUGAAAACACGUUCGCCGAGUUAAUUUACGGAUUAAUUUUCAUCUUUUGGGCCAUUUACGUGUAUUUUGUCAAAGAUUACGGCUACUGGGAAGAGAGAGGGGUGCCUCAUGUUCCACCAGUGUUCCCUUUUGGGUCCACUGUUCGAAACGUGUGGAACAGAUGUUACAGAGGCAUCACGUACGACCAGAUCUACAGAGAUUUCAGAGACGAACGCUUCGUCGGCCUCAUCGACAUAAGGAACCCUUCGUUACUCGUAAGAGAUCCUGAACUGAUCGGUCAUAUUCUGGAAAAGGAUUUCAGCAACUUCACAGAUCACACGAUGGUGGACCCGAACCCCGCGGAGUAUCUACUGAACCACUUGUAUAACCUGAAGGGGCAGGAGUGGAGAGACAUGAGGCACAAACUCGCCCCGGCGUACACAGCCGCCAAGGUGAAGAUGAUGUUCUGUUUGGUGCAAAGGUGCAGUGCCGAUCUGAGGAAAGCGUUCACGAAACUCACCUCGAACAACAGUGUCGUGAACGUGAAGGACUGCAUGUCUCGUUUCACCAUGGACGUGAUAGCCACGUGUGUCUACGGUGUAGAGAUAAACUCACUCGAGAAUGUGGACUCGGAGUUUUGUCUGAUGGGGAGGAAGAGCAAUGAGGUGAGUGUCGUCAUGCUGCUCAAAAUGUACCUCAUGAAUGCAUUUCCGAUAUUCAAAAAGAUCCAUUGCUUUAACUAUAUGGACUCAGACGUCACUGAAUUCUUCACCCGAACAAUCCGCUCGGCAGUCGAGUACCGGGAGAGUCAGUCCGUGGAGAGAUUUGACUUCCUGGACCUGCUGAUCAAACUGAGGCGGAACCAGAGUAUCCUGGAGGAGGGGGAGAAGUCUCCAGACCUUCCAGGCAGCUCUACCCUGCGUAAAAGAGAAGGUCUAACGAUAGAAGAGAUCACGGCACAGACGUUCGCGUUCUUCGCGGCUGGCUACGAGACUACAGCCAACACGAUCAUGUUCUGUCUGUACGAGCUGGCAUGUGACAACAGGAUACAGGAUAAACUCUCCUGGGAGGUGAAAGAGGUCCUGGGCAGACACGGGGGUGACAUAUCCUACCAGGCCCUGCAGGAAAUGUCUUAUAUGGAACAAGUCAUAAAGGAAUCUCUACGCCGCUACCCAAUACUUCCAUACUUAACAAGGACAUGCUCCGGAAACUACAAGUUGCCUAAUUCCAAUGUGGAAAUACAAACAGGUCAUCAAGUGGUUAUACCCGUAUACUCUCUGCAUCACGACCCCAACUAUUUCCCUGAACCCUUCACGUUCAACCCUGAAAGGUUCAGCCACAGCAGCAACCUACAUCCGCAUGUGUACCUGCCCUUUGGCGAGGGGCCUCGGAUGUGUAUUGGGAAACAGUUUGGUCUGACGAGCGUGAAGACAGCCUUGGCCAGUUUAGUCAGUGACUACAAGAUCAGCCUUGCUCCAGGCACAGAUGUUCCACUGAAGUUGAAAAACAACCCUUUCACGACUCUGCCAUCGAAGCCACUCAUGCUUGUGUUUACUCGACGAAACGCAACAGUUCAGUAAUAGGGCCUAAGGUGCAGAUAGUUGCGUUUCAUUACUUGGUAUAAACACUCCUAUAUCCUGAGGAUGAAAAGUAACAAACUCUUCUCGAAGCUACCGUCAAAGAAUCGCAUGCUUAUUAUAGACCUAUAGCAGUGAAAAAUGGUUUUUUACAACACUAGAAAUCGAGCUAGGUCACCUCGCGUCGCGUGACAGGCUUCCCUGAGGCUGAAUGAAAGUUAUAAAUCUAUAGCUCAUUUAAUUAUAAAAAUGCUCACUGUCAGAUAGCAAUACAGUCAAUCGUACAGAAAACAAUUGUAAAUCCCCUGGCGACGAAAUAUAAAUUAUGUCAGCCUAUUGAGGUGAUGGGUUUCAAUGACGCUCAGCCAAAUUCUAUGGUGUACACGUAAUAUCAUAGAAACCAUUCUUGUCUAUUUAUAGAUCAUGCAAAACCCAUUCUACAAGUGAGGUGAUUCUUGAAAUGACACACAAUUCAUUAAAUUUAUUUUUCUACAAGUUACGUUUCAUAGCAAUGUUCAAAUAGUACAAGUUCGAGUGAGAUAUGGAGUGUACUGCAACUUAAGAGCGUCCUCUUGUCAACGACUUUUAACAUUGACUCUCAUCUCCAUAAUUUUAAUUCUAUGAAUACAUUUUUUAACAUUUUUAAAUUCCAUUUAUUUAUACUGCUAUUUUCUCGUUGCCAUCAUGGUAUCCAUAAGAUCAAUGAAAAAAUAUUCAAAAAAACUCAGCCAAAUCCCAUUGAGUGUCAUACACCAUUAUCGGACUCAAUAUUGCCUAAAUAGAAAUAAAGUUUAUUGCAACAUUUUAGCCUACAGGUCAGUUAGUUUUCGUGAUAUCAUACGGACAGAUGGGCAAACAGAAAUAAUAUUUUCCCAGCCUCUCUAGUAAUAGGCUUUGCUGACGCUCAGCUAAUAAAUAGAAGCGUAUCAAUCAAGGGGUUGAUAAUUAUAAGGGAAAAGAAAGGAUGGUAGAAUGGACGUUGGUGACCAUAAUUGUUGUCCCUGACCGGUUCAUACUCAGUACAAGGUGGAUUGUCUGACUUGCUAUGUUGGUAAUUGUAUUACAAAACCUAUAGUUGUGUCAGCGAACCCAAGCCGUGAUUCUCCUAAUUGAUUAGUUUGAGAUUUCCCUUUAUAUCUAGGCUGAAGUUAGCGCAUUACCCAGAUCCAUUAGGAACUUCGCGCUCAGACAACCUAUACCAUACAAUGUAACGAUGUUCAGCAAGACGAUAAUGCUAUAAUGGCCUAUAUAUAGAAUACUGAUCCAGAUUUUGCCAUAUUUUGUACCUUGAUACUAAUUCAAAUUAAGGGCAUCCAACCUUAUAAUCCUAUUUAAUUCUGUACAUCGAAUGUCAGUAUGUUAAGGAAGUAAGUCAAACAAAAAUGAGUGUAUAGAAAUUAUUUUUGAAUAACAAAUUAGGUUGCUUGCAAUAGGAACACUUGAUAGUUGUACAUAUUUAAUAAUAUUUAUCAGUUUUCUGGACUUACAUUGUAGAAGUUUACUGAAGUGUCGCCUUUAAAAUCUGACGUAUAUCAGUUGAUGUUAUUUAUUGGCAGCAAUAUUCAGGGAAUUUUAGGUAGUUAAAGUAAUCUUCAAAACAUUAAUUUGGUUAUCAUUCUUAAUUAAUAUUAGAAUUUUGUUUCGUACUAUAAAUAAAAUACUUAAAAUUCGAUAUAUUUUUAACAAAAUAAUAACUUCUUAGAAAACUAUAAAAACACUCUUGCAUACCACUUAUAUAUUAUAUUAUUGUACUCGACUCAUUUGCAAAUGUAUUUAUUGUACAAUUAUUUAUUUAAAAUCUAAAACCCAGGUAGUUCUCGAGUUGUCUAAAAGACAGACAGACAGACAUGAAAUCCUUCCAGUCCCUAGAGUGGUAAGCUUCGCUAACACUCAGCCAAUUAUUAGCUUUUUAAAUUGGCUAUUGCACCAGAAUGAGAACUUGGGUAGUUUUUUACAA